rnacentral:lncRNA from 1 species
UGUUCAACUCACCUGGCAGCCACUCCCAGAGCCCCUGGAACUCUGGCCCAAGGCUCUCUGACUCCUUCUCGGCUUAGCGGCUGAAGACUGAUGCUGCCCGAUCGCCUCGGAAGCCCCGUAGACCAUCACAGACGCUGAGCUUCGGGUAACUCUCACAGUGGAAGAUAUUUUGCAGGCCCUGCAUUCCGAUGCACCAGCUGACACCACUCAGAUCCAUAAUCUGGCUCAAUCAGUUCUGCGAUUCCACUCAGGAACAGAAGACAGCAAGAAGAACUCACUUUGACCCUUCAUGAUUUAAUCUUCAACUCCAUCAGUCAGCAUUCCCCCACUUCCUGAGCCCCUUCCCACCAAAUUAUCUUUAAAAACUCUGAUCCAAUCCUUGAGUUUUCUCAGGGAGACUGAUCUGAGUAAUAAUAAAACUCUGGUUUUCCAC